GGCCAUAUCGUAUAGCGGUUUAGUACACGGGAUUUUGAUUCCCGUAACCCAGGUUCGAACCCUGGUAUGGCCU
rnacentral:tRNA from 1 species